UUAGGGUUAAAGUGUGUAAGGAGACACAGGAUGAAUGCGAACUACUUUUGUUAUUGUACUUUUGAUGAAAACUGACUUUCUAGACAUAAAAUGUCACUUUUUUCACCUUAUCAUACUUUUUCAUCAACUUUUGCAUUUUAAUGUAAACAAUCAUAUUUCGUAAUAUUUUGGGUCAGAAACAUCUCUUAGUGCUAUAUUAUGUCUAACUAUGUGAAAAAAAUCAAAUUGGAGUAGGUCGGGCAACUGAUUAUAUGAGUUUGUUAGAAAAACCACUUUCCUUUGCUCCUAGCGCCUUCUCGUUCGCUCUAUAGCGUUUUGAGCGGAUAAAGAGCACAAGUGUGUAAGGAGACACAGGAUGAAUGCGAACUACUUUUGUUGAUUUUUUUCACAUAGUUAGACAUAAUAUAGUACUAAGAAAUGUUUCUGACCCAAAUAUUACGAAAUAUGAUUGUUUACAUUAAAAUGCAAAAGUUGAUGAAAAAGUAUGAUAAGGUGAAAAAAGUGACAUUUUAUGUCUAGAAAGUCAGUUUUCAUCAAAAGUACAAUAACAAAAGUAGUUCGCAUGCAUCCUGUGUCUCCUUACACACUUGUGCUCUUUAUCCGCUCAAAACACUAUAGAGCGAACGAGAAGGCGCUAGGAGCAAAGGAAAGUGGUUUUUCUAACAAACUCAUAUAAUCAGUUGCCCGACCUACUCCAAUUUGAUUUUUUUCACAUAGUUAGACAUAAUAUAGUACUAAGAAAUGUUUCUGACCCAAAAUAUUAUGAAAUAUGAUUGUUUACAUUAAAAUGCAAAAGUUGAUGAAAAAGUAUGAUAAGGUGAAAAAAGUGACAUUUUAUGUCUAGAAAGUCAGUUUUCAUCAAAAGUACAAUAACAAAAGUAGUUCGCAUUCAUCCUGUGUCUCCUUACACACUUGUGCUCUUUAUCCGCUCAAAACGCUAUAGAGCAAACGAGAAGGCGCUAGGAGCAAAGGAAAGUGUUUUUUUCUAACAAACUCAUAUAAUCAGUUGCCCGACCUACUCCAAUUUGAUUCUUUUCACAUAUUUAGACAUAAUAUAGUACUAUGAAAUGUUUCUGACCCAAAAUAUUAUGAAAUGCGAUUGUUUACAUUAAAAUGCAAAAGUUGAUGAAAAAGUAUGAUAAGGUGAAAAAAGUGACAUUUUAUGUCUAGAAAGUCACUUUUCAUCAAAAGUACAAUAACAAAUCUAGUUCACAUUCAUCCUGUGUCCCCUUACACACUUGUGCUCUUUAUCCGCUCAAAACGCUAUAGAGCGAACGAGAAGGCGCUAGGAGCAAAGGAAAGUGGUUUUUCU
ensembl:lncRNA